CUCAGGGGGACCCCUGAAACCAUAACCAUUACAGAGUGCUGUAGUGGUUAUGGUGCUUGGAUUGUUCUUUAA